AUUGAACGCUGGCGGCAGGCCUAACACAUGCAAGUCGAACGAGUGGCGGACGGGUGAGUAAUGUCUGGGUAACUGCCUGAUGGAGGGGGAUAACUACUGGAAACGGUAGCUAAUACCGCAUACCAUCGGAUGUGCCCAGAUGGGAUUAGCUAGUAGGUGGGGUAAAGGCUCACCUAGGCGACGAUCCCUAGCUGGUCCGAGAGGAUGACCAGCGACACUGGAACUGAGGCCCGGUCCAGACUCCUACGGCAGGGAGCAGUGGGGAAUAUUGCACAAUCGACGCAAGCCUGAUGCGACGUUGCCGCGUGUAUGAAGAAGGCCUUCGGGUUGUGAAGUACUGUCAGCGGGUAGGGGUUACGCGCAGAAGAACCACCGGCUAACCCCGUGCCAGCAGCCGCGGUAAUAC
rnacentral:rRNA from 1 species